GGAGGGUACAGCUCAGUGGUAGAGUGCGUGUGUUUAGCAUGCGCGAGGUCCUGAGUUCAAUCCCCAGUCCCUCCA
rnacentral:tRNA from 1 species